UGUCUCUUUCCUGGCAUGUUCUGAAGAAGCCCAUGGAGGGGAGUAGACUUCUGAAAGAAUAUGGUUGACCUUGUUAUACAAGAGAUCAGAGAGAGAAGAAAUACAAGAGAGAAUGAGAAGGAAAAGGAGGAGGGAAAGAAAAAGGAAAAGUGGAAUAAACCAAGAGAGAUGUGUCAAGAUGAUAAAAUUGAGGAAUCAGGAGGAUUUUGAACACAGGAUGUCACACUACAGUCUAAACCUUCCUUGUUCACUAAGCUAAACCCUCAUAUUUGGAGACUACUGAAUGAGAAGAAUAAUGCAAUGUGUUGAAUGCCUACAACACCUCAAGGACCUUUUUUUCAUCUUUUACUUUUUAAAAUUUUAUUGUAGUAAGAACACUUAACAUGAGAUCUACCUUUCUAAAAAAUUGUUAAUUGUAGACUACAUUAUUGUUGACUAUAGGUAUAAUGCUGUAUAGCAGGUCUCUAGAGCUUAUUAAUCUUGCUUGAUUGGAACUUUAUGCACACUGAUUAGUAACUCCUCAUUUCUCUCUCCCCCUAGACCCUGGUAACCACAAUUCCACUCUUUGAUUCUAUGAAUUUGACUAUUUUAGAUACCUCACAUAAAUGGAAUCAUGCUGUAUUUACCUGUGACUGGCUUAUUUCACUUAGCAUAGUGUCCUCAAAGUUCACUUAUGUUGCCACAUAUUCCAGAAUUUCAUUGUUUAAAAGGCUGAAUAAUAUUUCAUCAUGUGUAUAUACCAGAUUUUCCUUAUCCAUUCAUCUGUCGAUGG
rnacentral:lncRNA from 1 species